UGACUUCUGAAAAAUACUUUAUCCAUUGUCUUCUUACAUCAGAAUCAACUCCCUAAAUUCUUCAGCACUGGCUUUGUAAACUGGUUUCUGGUCUUUGUUUCUGGUGAAUAACAAUAAGGCAAUGUAGAAGAAAGCAAGUCCCAUCAAAGGGAGCUCCAGUCUCUAUAGACUGAUAAAAAGGAGCCUCAGAACUUAAACCUCUGGAUCAGGAGAAUCAAAAAACAUCAUGCCUCUCUAUGAUACCCGCCCAAACUCUUUCAGCUAAACAGAAGCACUUUCAAAUAUACAAUUCCGGCAGAGUCUGCAUUUUUGUUUCAACUUACCUAUAAAAGGAUACAAAAACUGAAGAACAGAGAGGAGCAGAUACCCUGGAAAGCCGAAAGUUUUAUUGACCAAAGACUGAGUCUCGGAAUGUUUUGAUUGUGGAGUUUAUAGAGUUCAGGCUGAAGUUUUAUAAAAAUAACUUGCAGCAGCAUGGAGGACUGAUGAGAAAGUAGACAGAUGCUGGAAGCAGGAAAACUGAACAGCAGGUCACUGGCCAAGGAGAAUCAAAGAGCUAGAUGCUGAGAAUAAUGCAGCCAUAACGUGAAAUCUUUUUGAGGCUCCGUGGUGGUCUUAAAAUAUAUCCA
ensembl:lncRNA novel transcript, antisense to SLC38A11 and SCN3A